GCGAGGGUGCUAAUCCUAAAAAGUCUUUCGUAGUCCGGAUUGGAGUCUGCACUCGACUCCAUGAAGUCGGAAUCGCUAGUAAUCGCGGAUCAGCAUGCCGCGGUGAAUACGUUCUCGGGUCUUGUACACACCGCCCGUCACACCAUGGAAGUGGAUUGCACCAGAAGUAGAUAGUCUAACCUUAGGGAGGGCGUUUACCACGGUGUGCUUCAUGACUGGGGUGAAGUCGUAACAAGGUAGCCGUAGGGGAACCUGUGGCUGGAUCACCUCCUU
rnacentral:rRNA from 1 species